rnacentral:rRNA from 1 species
CCUCGGGUUGCACCAGUGAGGAAUAUUGCACAAUGGGGGGAACCCUGAUGCAGCAACGCCGCGUGGAGGAUGACGCAUUUCGGUGUGUAAACUCCUUUUAUAUGUCAAGAAAAUGACGGUAGCAUAUGAAUAAGCACCGGCUAACUCCGUGCCAGCAGCCGCGGAAUACGGAGGGUGCAAGCGUUACUCGGAAUCACUGGGCGUAAAGGACGCGUAGGCGGGUUGGAAAGUCAGGUGUGAAAUCCUACAGCUUAACUGUAGAACUGCACUUGAAACUUCUAAUCUAGAGUAUGGGAGGGGGAGAUGGAAUUAGUGGUGUAGGGGUAAAAUCCGUAGAUAUCACUAGGAAUACCUAAAGCGAAGGCGAUCUCCUGGAACAUUACUGACGCUAAGGCGUGAAAGCGUGGGGAGCAAACAGGAUUAGAUACCCCCGUAGUC